rnacentral:lncRNA from 1 species
UACACGUUACUGUGAACUGAAGUACUGAGAGUUACAUGUUACUGUGAACUGAAGUACUGAGAGUUACGUGUGUGUGUGUGUGUGUGUGUGUGUGUGUGUGUGUGUGUGUGUGUGUGUGUGUGUGUGUGUGUGUGUGUGUGUGUGUGUGUGUGUGUGUGUGUGUGUGUUGUGUGUGUUGUGUGUGUGUGUGUGUGUGUGUGUGUACACCUGUGCAGGUUAUAUCCAAAGAGUCUCUCCUGCUGAGGGAGGCGGUUUGAGAAACAGAUGUUCCUGCACGGCCUCGUGGGAACAGGAAGUGUGCUGUCAGCAGAUUAACGGCUGUACAGGCUGUACAGAGGGGGCUGAUCUGUGUGUGUGUGCAGGCUGUGCAGCGGGGGCUGAUCUGGGAUCUGUGCUGCGUGGCGUCAUGAAGCUGCCCUGCUCUCUGCACUGCUCCCUGUGGUUGUUCCUGCUGCUGGGAGCCGGAUCUCUGCUGCUGCUCAUCCGCCUGCAGGAUCUCAGCGAGGUGGUGUUGCAGCAGACUCCAGGUCAGUUAUCUUUAUAAUAAUAAUCCGUCAGACUUUGUGAUUUUCAGAGUUCUUGAAGACGUUUUACAUGCUGUAGGAUAAGAAAAACAGCAGCAAACAACUGGAUUUAUUCAGGUUUCUCACCAAGAUAAAAUUUGAACACAUCAUGAUAACGUUAUAAUUUACCUUCAACCAGUACUCAAUUUUACUGAAGAGAGCUUGAACGCAUCAUAAUGUAAGUAGUAGUAGUACAUCAGUAGAACCUCCGUUAGCAUUAGCCACCGGCUGCUAACAGCUAACUA